rnacentral:rRNA from 1 species
AUGAAGCUGGAAUUGCUGUAAUGGCAGGUCAGCAUACUGCCGUGAAUACGUUCCCGGGCCUUGUACACACCGCCCGUCACACCAUGAGAGUUGGAAAUACCCGAAGCCUGUGAGCUAACAGUAAUGAGGCAGCAGUCGAAGGUAGAGCCAAUGAUUGGGGUGAAGUCGUAACAAGGUAGC